rnacentral:rRNA from 1 species
AGCAGCCGCGGUAAUUCCAGCUCCAAUAGCGUAUAUUAAAGUUGUUGCAGUUAAAAAGCUCGUAGUUGAAUUUCGGGGUUCUUCCGUUGGUCGGGCUAUCCAGUCUGUACUAGCGUGUAGAAUUCCUACCUUCUGGGGAACCAUCAUGUUAUUAAUUUAGCGUGGUGGGAAACCAGGACCUUUACCUUGAAAAAAUUAGAGUGUUCAAAGCAGGCUUACGUCUGAAUACAUUAGCAUGGAAUAAUAGAAUAGGACGGUGGUCCUGUUUUGUUGGUUUCUGAAUCACCGUAAUGAUUAAUAGGGAUAGUUGGGGGCAUUAGUAUUCAAUUGUCAGAGGUGAAAUUCUUGGAUUUAUGAAGACUAACUUCUGCGAAAGCAUUUGCCAAGGAUGUUUUCAUUAAUCAAGAACGAAAGUUAGGGGAUCGAAGACGAUCAGAUACCGUCGUAGUCUUAACCAUAAACUAUGCCGACUAGGGAUCGGACGAUGUUAAAUUUAUUGACUCGUUCGGCGCCUUACGGG